CUGGCUAGGUUGCUCUGUAAGUAAGGCUU
rnacentral:piRNA from 1 species